rnacentral:lncRNA from 1 species
AAGACCUGGGUGCCUCCCUGGGUGCCAACCAGCCUAACCAGCCAGGGCCACCAAGCAGAAGUGCUUCUGACAUUAACGCGACACACAGAAGGUGUGUAGGGUGGGUAGUGGAAGUGACCGCAGAGGCCUCUGGGGAUUGUAGUUUUGGAGCCAGAGAGGUGGGCAAGCAGUUGGCUUUGCCCACACGGGGUGCCUUGUCAUCUGCAUAGCGCACACAACCAAGCUUAGGAGCCAAGUGUUAAGAUGCCUAAGUGACACGGACAAGUUUGUCCUCUGCGACCCAGUGAGAUCUGCUCACCACAAGAGCAUCGCGGGACCGCCAAAGGAUUCUGGGAAAUGUGGUCCCGGAUGGCCAGUGUGUGCUGACCUUCACCUGAAGGUGCAGCUUGAAGGAAACUUCUGGAGGGUGGGCUGGUGUUGAAGAGAAGGCACAAUUAUAACCAUUUUGUUCAACAUGGGCGUUUUCUUUAUGCAUUGAUUUGCAUUUUAAAGGUAUUACAUUAAAAAUAUGUUUAUCUUGAUU